AGAAACAGCCCUCCCCUCCCCCUCCUCCUCCCCUCCCGCCCACCAAUAGGAAGUCGGCUGCUGGUUUCCAUGGUGAUGGCGAUGAACUGGUGGGCUGGACCGGCUGGCAGGGCCGGGACAGAGGGAAGAGCAGGUUCCUCGCGGGAUGCCAGCCCAGCACCCGCCACGGUGGCCUCCCCGGCCAUCGUCCCCACACACCCUGGUGCCUUCCAAGGGUGGGACUGGCGAACACAGACAUAGGGGCGGGUGUGACCGACACCGAGCCGCACAGAAGGGCAGGACGGAGAAAGACAGGAGCUGAGGGCACGGGACCUCCGUGCAGUGGAGACAGACGCUGGAGAGGGUGUGACAGACACCGAGCCAUACUUUUUCCUUGCUACAGUAAAUCAUCUCUAGAUUACUCAUACUGCCUAUGCUUCUUAGUCGUUAUACUGCAUAAGGGAUAAGAAAAAAGGCUGUAAAUGUUCAGUACAUGUGGAUUUCUAAAAGCUAUUUUCCUUAAAACCUGUAGACAAGGAGGGUCAAUUGUGUAUGUGUGUGUGUGCGUGUAUGUAUAUCCCCCAUAUAUGCAUGGUGAUACACUUGUAUGCAUCCUCAUGUAUCUACCUCAUAUUUAUCACAUCUGAAUGUCACCAUACAUGUAUGUGAGUGAAGCUUAUUAUGUGAAUGUCACUUUGUAUCUGUAUGCUUUUAUAUGCGAUAUGUGUCACAUUUAUGUCAUUGCAGGUGUACUUCAAGAAGUUCAUGACAAAUUAAAUUAAAAGGCUUUAUUUUACUGCAAAUCCAUGUGUACUCUCUGCUUAAUACAUAUUCCCCACAAACUCUUUGAUGCCCCCUCAGAGGCAUCAUUUCAAAAUUGUUUGCAUCAAAAUAAACUUAUUUUUUAAUUCCA